rnacentral:lncRNA from 1 species
UAGCCCUAAAUUUGAACCCACUCUUUACAACUGCCUACAUCUACCGCCCCAAACCCUAAAACACCAACCAAUAGAACCAAGAAAUCAACCACCGAAACCGUAGAGAGUCCUUCCCUGCCUUUUGAGGGCAUAAACAACAUCCAUAGCGGUCACAGUCUUCCUUCUGGCGUGCUCAGUGUAGGUCACAGCAUCGCGAAUCACGUUCUCGAGGAAAAUCUUGAGAACGCCUCUGGUCUCCUCAUAAAUGAGACCGCUGAUCCUCUUCACGCCUCCUCUCCUCGCCAAACGACGAAUAGCAGGCUUGGUGAUACCCUGAAUGUUAUCCCGGAG